CCUACGGGAGGCAGCAGUGAGGAAUAUUGGUCAAUGGACGAGAGCCUGAACCAGCCACGCCGCGUGAAGGAUGACUGCCCUAUGGGUUGUAAACUUCUUCUAUAACGGAAUAAAACGAGGCACGUGUGCCUUUUUGCAUGUACUUUAUGAAUAAGGAUCGGCUAACUCCGUGCCAGCAGCCGCGGUAAUACGGAGGAUCCGAGCAUUAUCCGGAGUGACUGGGUGUAGAGAGUGGCGUAUGUGGCAUAAUAAGUAGCUAGGGAAAUCUGGGGGCUCAACCAUUCAGACUAUUAGCUAAACUGUUAAGCUCGAGAGCGUUAGGGGUAACUGGAAUUGCUAGUGUAGGAGUGAAAUGCGUAGAUAUUAGAAGGAACACCAAUAGCGUAGGCAGGUUACUGGGACGGUUCUGACACUAAGGCACGAAAGCGUAGGGAGCAAACAGGAUUAGAUACCCGUGUAGUC
rnacentral:rRNA from 1 species